GAUGAACGCUGGCGGCGUGCCUAAUACAUGCAAGUCGAGCGAACGGACGAGAAGCUUGCUUCUCUGAUGUUAGCGGCGGACGGGUGAGUAACACGUGGAUAACCUACCUAUAAGACUGGGAUAACUUCGGGAAACCGGAGCUAAUACCGGAUGAUAUCUUGAACCGCAUGGUUCAAAAGUGAAAGACGGUCUUGCUGUCACUUAUAGAUGGAUCCGCGCUGCAUUAGCUAGUUGGUAAGGUAACGGCUUACCAAGGCAACGAUGCAUAGCCGACCUGAGAGGGUGAUCGGCCACACUGGAACUGAGACACGGUCCAGACUCCUACGGGAGGCAGCAGUAGGGAAUCUUCCGCAAUGGGCGAAAGCCUGACGGAGCAACGCCGCGUGAGUGAUGAAGGUCUUCGGAUCGUAAAACUCUGUUAUUAGGGAAGAACAUAUGUGUAAGUAACUGUGCACAUAUUGACGGUACCUAAUCAGAAAGCCACGGCUAACUACGUG
rnacentral:rRNA from 1 species